UACGUAGGGGGCAAGCGUUGUCCGGAUUUAUUGGGCGUAAAGAGCGUGUAGGCGGCUGGGUAGGUCCGUUGUGAAAACUCGAGCUCAACCUCGAGACGCCGAUGGAAACCCUCCAGCUAGAGUCCGGAAGAGGAGAGUGGAAUUCCUGGUAUAGCGGUGAAAUGCGCAGAUAUCAGGAAGAACACCCGUGGCUAAGGCGGCUCUCUAGUACGGUACUGACGCUGAGACGCGAAAGCGUGGGGAGCGAACAGG
rnacentral:rRNA from 1 species